AGAGUUUGAUCCUGGCUCAGGAUGAACGCUGGCGGCGUGCCUAACACAUGCAAGUCGAACGGAGCUGCUUUGAUGAAGUUUUCGGAUGGAUUUAAAACAGCUUAGUGGCGGACGGGUGAGUAACGCGUGGGUAACCUGCCUCACACUGGGGGAUAACAGUUAGAAAUAGCUGCUAAUACCGCAUAAGCGCACGGUUCCGCAUGGAACAGUGUGAAAAACUCCGGUGGUGUGAGAUGGACCCGCGUCUGAUUAGCCAGUUGGCGGGGUAACGGCCCACCAAAGCGACGAUCAGUAGCCGGCCUGAGAGGGUGAACGGCCACAUUGGGACUGAGACACGGCCCAAACUCCUACGGGAGGCAGCAGUGGGGAAUAUUGCACAAUGGGGGGAACCCUGACGCAGCGACGCCGCGUGCGGGACGGAGGCCUUCGGGUCGUAAACCGCUUUCAGCAGGGAAGAGUCAAGACUGUACCUGCAGAAGAAGCCCCGGCUAACUACGUGCCAGCAGCCGCGGUAAUACGUAGGGGGCGAGCGUUAUCCGGAUUCAUUGGGCGUAAAGCGCGCGUAGGCGGCCCGGCAGGCCGGGGGUCGAAGCGGGGGGCUCAACCCCCCGAAGCCCCCGGAACCUCCGCGGCUUGGGUCCGGUAGGGGAGGGUGGAACACCCGGUGUAGCGGUGGAAUGCGCAGAUAUCGGGUGGAACACCGGUGGCGAAGGCGGCCCUCUGGGCCGAGACCGACGCUGAGGCGCGAAAGCUGGGGGAGCGAACAGGAUUAGAUACCCUGGUAGUCCCAGCCGUAAACGAUGGACGCUAGGUGUGGGGGGACGAUCCCCCCGUGCCGCAGCCAACGCAUUAAGCGUCCCGCCUGGGGAGUACGGCCGCAAGGCUAAAACUCAAAGGAAUUGACGGGGGCCCGCACAAGCAGCGGAGCAUGUGGCUUAAUUCGAAGCAACGCGAAGAACCUUACCAGGGCUUGACAUAUGGGUGAAGCGGGGGAGACCCCGUGGCCGAGAGGAGCCCAUACAGGUGGUGCAUGGCUGUCGUCAGCUCGUGUCGUGAGAUGUUGGGUUAAGUCCCGCAACGAGCGCAACCCCCGCCGCGUGUUGCCAUCGGGUGAUGCCGGGAACCCACGCGGGACCGCCGCCGUCAAGGCGGAGGAGGGCGGGGACGACGUCAAGUCAUCAUGCCCCUUAUGCCCUGGGCUGCACACGUGCUACAAUGGCCGGUACAGAGGGAUGCCACCCCGCGAGGGGGAGCGGAUCCCGGAAAGCCGGCCCCAGUUCGGAUUGGGGGCUGCAACCCGCCCCCAUGAAGUCGGAGUUGCUAGUAAUCGCGGAUCAGCAUGCCGCGGUGAAUGCGUUCCCGGGCCUUGCACUCACCGCCCGUCA
rnacentral:rRNA from 1 species